UACGUAGGGCGCAAGCGUUGUCCGGAAUUAUUGGGCGUAAAGAGCUCGUAGGCGGCUUGUCACGUCGGGUGUGAAAGCCCGGGGCUUAACCCCGGGUCUGCAUUCGAUACGGGCUAGCUAGAGUGUGGUAGGGGAGAUCGGAAUUCCUGGUGUAGCGGUGAAAUGGGCAGAUAUCAGGAGGAACACCGGUGGCGAAGGCGGAUCUCUGGGCCAUUACUGACGCUGAGGAGCGAAAGCGUGGGGAGCGAACAGG
rnacentral:rRNA from 1 species